GCCCAGCAGUAUGCUCCCGAUGGUGCUCCUUUAGAACACUGUGAGGGCCCUCGGUACGUUGAUGUAAUCCCCAGAGAAGACAUCAUUGAUGUUAUCCCCAGAAAUUACCCGGAACAUAUUCCAGUCCAAGUGAUCAAAACAGUCUUGGAGAAUGGAUUCUGAUUGGUCUGACCAGCGUUGUACAGACCUGACCACCGGAACAUCCCUCUUGAGUCUUUAUUUGUCGGUCAGGAGGAGAUAAAUGGAGUCAUGGCCAGAUUUGCCAAAAGGAGAACGGGAGAUGGCCUUACUCUCGUGUCGAAAAGGCGUGUAGCAGGGGCCCAGCUUAGAAUCUCUGCAAAUUGGACAGUCAAUGUGUUGAUAGUAAUUUGCGAGCACGGUUCUCAAAUUACUUUUGUUAAAGUCCCCCGCGAUAAUAAACGCUGCCUCCAGGUAUGCAGUCUCCAGUUUGUUCAGGGUACAAUGAAGAUCUUUAUGAGCAUUUUUGGUGGUGGCUUGGGGAGGGAUGUACACAGCCAUGGCGAUAAUCCCUGAGAACUCUCUCAGAAUAUAAAAAGGGUGACAUUUGAUGAGUAAAUAUUCCAAGUUGGGAGAGGAGAGGCUCGUAAGUUCCUGUACGUUUCCCCUGUCGCACCACUUGUUAUUGGUCGUAAAGCAGGUCCCUCUGCCUUUGUUCUUGCCAGAGAGAGCACCUUCCUAUCUGCUCGAUGAACUGUAAAACCCGCUGGUUGUAUUCACCUCAUUUUCAAGGGAAAUAUGGAGGGGGUCUGUUUAGGUUUAUUUGUGGGGGACUUCCAGUAAAGCACUUCCGGCCAAUAGCUCGCAGCUAGCUAGUUAACUAGCUCACUAUCACUUCACACAACUUCCCAAACAUGGAUUCACGCAAAACAGGCAUUUUAUGUUUAGCAAGGGGAUGCCACAAUAACUGUCAGAAACGGAAGCUGUUCAUGGAGCAGGAGUGUUUAGGCCACCUAAUUUGUUGAGAAGCGAGUGCAGUUGAGGCACCUUUUGAUUUGCACCCACCUCCUAAGGAUGAGGAAUCUCUUCAGCUUUGGCUCAAAGCAUUGAACUUGAAGAAACAACCAAACCAACCCUAUGUGUGUUGCUAUCACUUUGUGGACUAGAGGCCGACUGAAGAGCAUCCUUUCCCUGAGAAGUGGCUGGGCUAUGAUGCUCCAGUACAGACCAGAGAGCGACUUAUCAUCAGGACAUCAACACAUACAGAUGAAGACAACUGUGGUGAUGCAGAGUCUGAUCUGAGUGUGCCAAUGCCACCGCAGCAUAAAGAUGCUGAUACUCAAAUUCAGGUCCCAGCAGUGGCUGAUCACAGCUACGUGUCAAGAGAACCAGUCAACAAGCCCACCUGCCACAAACAAACCAAUGAGGUGGUGCAGAGCCAUUGACCCAAACCAUCCUGAAGAAUGACACCAGCUCAGUGUUGUAUACUGGCCUUCCUGUUAGUGUUUUCUUUGACCAUUGUAGCAUUUCUGCAGAAAUUCUACACGGCUAACUUCAAAAUGCAUAUCACUGAUCAAACACUAAUAACCUUGAUGAAGCUGAAGCUGAAUCCACUCCAGAGUGAUCUUACUGAAUGAAGAAUCCUUUCCUACUGGAUUGACACAAUGGAGGAGCACAUGAGGAUUUAUAUUCCAUAUCUGCCAAGGGAGACAAUCCAGAAUACAUUGACUCAGUGCUUCAAAGAGAAGUUCCCCAACAACACUUGCGUCAUCGACUGCUCUGAAACCACUCUUCAGAAAGCACACAAUCUUGAUUCCAUACCAGCCUUCACUCAGAAAGAAGGCCAGCUGUCUGACGAGGAUGUCACAAGCACCAGAAGGAUAGCUAAUGUGCAUAUAAAUGUUGUGAGAGUUAUCAGACGACUCAAGGUGUUCAAAACCCUCUCCCAGACUGUUCCCAUCAACCUGACACACAAAAUGGACAAAGUCCUUAGAAUCUGUGCAGCACUUAUUAACAUGCAGGGUGAAAUCGUCCAUGAGGAUAACGAGUGAGCAGUGAGAAUGUUCAUACAUCUGAAAUGUAACUUUAUACACUAUAAUUUCAUCCAUAUGAGACACUGUGUGUAAAACAGUGCAUUCGGAAAGUAUUCAGACCCCUUGACUUUUUACACAUUUUGUUACGUUACCGUCUUAUUCUAAAAUGGAUUAAAUAAAUGUUUUCCCUCAUCA